rnacentral:rRNA from 1 species
CACGUAAGGGGCGAGCGUUGUUCGGAAUAUUGGGCGUAAAGGGCGUGUAGGCUGUUUUGUAAGCCUGGUGUGAAAGUGCACGGCUUAACUGUGUAUGUGCGCUGGGAACUGCAAGACUAGAGUCCGGAAGGGGGAGGUAGAAUUCCUGGUGUAGGGGUGAAAUCUGUAGAUAUCAGGAAGAAUACCGGUGGCGAAGGCGACCUCCUGGUCCUGGACUGACGCUGAGGCGCGAAAGCGUGGGGAGCGAACAGGAUUAGAUACCCUGGUAGUCCACGCUGUAAACGAUGUGCACUAGGUGUUGGGGCAAGAGCUUCAGUGCCGAAGCGAACGCGAUAAGUGCACCGCCUGGGGAGUAUGCUCGCAAGGGUGAAACUCAAAGGAAUUGACGGGGGCCCGCACAAGCGGUGCAGCAUGUGGUUUAAUUCGAUGAUACGCGAGGAACCUUACCAGGGCUUGACAUAUACCGGGAGCCGUGAGAGAUCACGGUGCCCCUUUGGGGCCGGUAUACAGGUGCUGCAUGGCUGUCGUCAGCUCGUGCUGUGAAGUGUUGGGUUAAGUCCCGCAACGAGCGCAACCCCUACUGUCUGUUGCCAACAGGUGAAGCUGGGGACUCAGACGGAACUGCCGGUGACAAACCGGAGGAAGGUGGGGACGACGUCAAGUCAUCAUGCCCCUUAUGUCCUGGGCUACACACGUGCUACAAUGGCCGGUACAGAGUGAGGCGAAACCGCGAGGUGGAGCAAAUCACAGAAAACCGGUCUCAGUUCGGAUCGGAGUCUGAAACCACGACUUCGUGAAGGUGGAAUCGCUAGUAAUCGCGCAUCAGCAUGGCGCGGGAAUACGUUCCCGGG